UUCUGCCUCAUCCUAAUAGUCAGUGUUUUGUCUCCCGUUCAUGUCUCUCCCUCUCCCUCCCGCUGUGCAGUACUACCACCCCUUCCCACGCUAUGCCACUGCCAUGUCGUCGCCGUUGUCGCUUCACUUAGUCGGCCCUCGUGUUCUUCUGCAGAUCCAGACCAUUUAUACAAUCCAGACCAAAUCAAACUCUCGAUAUGGCCAUCAUGUGGUUCCAGGUUUCCGAAAUAGAGGAUUAGGGUUUUUACCAGUGGAUUGUAGUGUUGUAUUGCAAAUCACAUGCUGACAUGUGAUGAAGGAAGUUGUACAUAUUUUAUGGUGUGUUGGGGGGGGGGGAAGAACAAGCUGGUGUACGUGUGUGGUGGUGCAGUACCUAUACCACAAAAAAAGUUAAUAAGUGUGAUCAGGACUAUGUAGAAACUAUAAUAGACUUGCGAUAUGGUUGUGCUCGCACAUAUCUGCAUGAUCUGUGUGAUCUUUCAAAUAUGGAAGAUCAGAUUGCAAAAUCCAAAGAUCAAGCUCUAAUGCAGGAAGGAUAGCUUGGACAAUGUAGAGAAGUGGAGAUAUGCAACCGAGGAGGAGAAGUGGCUGGAAGAGUACGAAAGGGCUACAGCAGUACAAGUUGUUUUAGAUGAAACUUCUAGCUCAGCAAAGGGAUUUCAGAUUCUACACUGGCACCUACCUCCAGCAAACUUGGUGGCUUGAAAAUAUAUGUUCUGGCUUGAUUGUGUGCAGUCUUAUGUUUUGGUUUGUUGUUAACUUGCAUAAGUAAUAUUUUUAGCAAAGAGUUUGAAAUAAGGACUGUAUAAUUCUGCUCAACUCAGCAUCUGGUUUAAAGGCUUGCAUGUGCUAUUGUCUGAUGCAUCCUUAACAUGCAUCAUCCGUAAGACGAGAAACAUCAAUAUGAGUCCUUAGACAAUUGUAUCU